rnacentral:rRNA from 1 species
GACGAACGCUGGCGGCGUGCCUAAUACAUGCAAGUCGAACGCAGUGGGGACGGGUGAGUAACACGUGGGUAACCUCCCAUCAGAGGGGAUAACACUUGGAAACAGGUGCUAAACCGAUCCUGAUGGAUGGACCCGCGGUGCAUUAGCUAGUUGGUGAGGUACCAGCUCACCAAGGCCACGAUGCAUAGCCUAGCUGUGAUGGUGAUAGGGCAAACGGGUACUGAGGCACGGCCCAGACUCCAACGGGAGGCAGCAGUAGGGAAUCUUCGACAACGGAGGAAAGUCUGACCGAGCAACGGCGCGUGAGUGAAGAAGGUUUUCGGAGCGUAAAACUCUGUUGUUAGAGAAGCGUUAUCUAACCAGAAAGCCACGGCUAACUACGUGCCAGCAGCCGCGGUAAUAC